rnacentral:tRNA from 1 species
CGGGGAUUAGCGCAGCCCGGCAGCGCGCAGCGUUCGGGACGCUGAGGUCGCGAGUUCAAAUCUCGCAUUCCCGA